rnacentral:rRNA from 1 species
AGUGAACGCUGGCGGCGUGCCUAAUACAUGCAAGUCGAACGAAGUGGCGCACGGGUGAGUAAUAUAUAGUUAAUCUGCCCUGAACAGAGGAACAACAGUUGGAAACGACUGCUAAUACCUCAUAGUGUAGGAUGAGACUAUAUCGUAUCAGCUAGUUGGUAAGGUAAUGGCUUACCAAGGCUAUGACGCGUAACUGGUCUGAGAGGAUGAUCAGUAACCUUGGAACUGAGACACGGUACAAACUCCUACGGGAGGCAGCAGUAAGGAAUAGUGCGCAAUGGGCGAAACCCUUACGCAGCAUCGCCGCGUGGAGGAUGACACGUUUCGGAGCGUAAACUCCUUUUAUCAUGAAAGCGGUACCUGAUGAAUAAGCACCGGCUAACUCCGUGCCAGCAGCCGCGGUAAUAC